UGUGAUGUGACGUAGUGGAAC
rnacentral:miRNA from 2 species